AUUGAACGCUGGCGGCAGGCCUAACACAUGCAAGUCGAGCGGAGCGGCGGACGGGUGAGUAAUGACUAGGAAUCUGACUGGUAGCGGGGGAGAACGUACGGAAACGGGCGCUAAUACCGCAUACUAUCAGAUUAGACUAGGUCGGAUUAGCUAGGUGGUGGGGUAAAGGCCUACCAAGGCGACGAUCCGUAACUGGUCUGAGAGGAUGAUCAGUCACACUGGAACUGAGACACGGCCCAGACUCCUACGGGAGGCAGCAGUGGGGAAUAUUGGACAAUGGGCGAAAGCCUGAUCCAGCCAUGCCGCGUGUGUGAAGAAGGUCUUCGGAUUGUAAAGCACUUUAAGUUGGGAGGCGUUACCAACAGAAUAAGCACCGGCUAACUUCGUGCCAGCAGCCGCGGUAAUUC
rnacentral:rRNA from 1 species